rnacentral:rRNA from 2 species
GGCUCAUUAAAUCAGUUAUCGUAUAUUUGAUAGUACCUACUACAUGGAUAACCGUGGUAAUUCUAGAGCUAAUACAUGCUUAAAAUCCCGACUUCGGAAGGGAUGUAUUUAUUAGAUUAAAAACCAAUGCCCUUCGGGGCUCACUGGUGAUUCAUAAUAACUUCUCGAAUCGCAUGGCCUUGUGCCGGCGAUGGUUCAUUCAAAUUUCUGCCCUAUCAACUUUCGACGGCUGGGUCUUGGCCAGCCGUGGUUACAACGGGUAACGGAGGGUUAGGGCUUGACCCCGGAGAAGGAGCCUGAGAAACGGCUACUACAUCCAAGGAAGGCAGCAGGCGCGCAAAUUACCCAAUCCCGACACGGGGAGGUAGUGACAAUAAAUACUGAUACAGGGCUCUUUUGGGUCUUGUAAUUGGAAUGAGUACAAUUUAAAUCCCUUAACGAGGAACAAUUGGAGGGCAAGUCUGGUGCCAGCAGCCGCGGUAAUUCCAGCUCCAAUAGCGUAUAUUAAAGUUGUUGCAGUUAAAAAGCUCGUAGUUGAACCUUGGGCCUGGCUGGCCGGUCUGCCUCACCGCAUGCACUGGUCCGGCCGGGCCUUUCCCUCUGGGGAUCCGCAUGCCCUUCACUGGGUGUGUCGGGGAACCAGGACUUUUACUGUGAAAAAAUUAGAGUGUUCAAAGCAGGCCUAUGCUCGAAUACAUUAGCAUGGAAUAAUAGAAUAGGACGUUGCGGUUCUAUUUUGUUGGUUUCUAGGACCGCCGUAAUGAUUAAUAGGGACAGUCGGGGGCGUCAGUAUUCAAUCGUCAGAGGUGAAAUUCUUGGAUCGAUUGAAGACUAACUACUGCGAAAGCAUUCGCCAAGGAUGUUUUCAUUAAUCAGGAACGAAAGUUAGGGGAUCGAAAACGAUCAGAUACCGUUGUAGUCUUAACCAUAAACUAUGCCGACUAGGGAUCGGGCGAUGUUAUUUCUUGACUCGCUCGGCACC